rnacentral:hammerhead_ribozyme from 1 species
AUCCAGCUGAAGAGUCUUAAAUAGGACGAAACGCGCAUCCUGGAU